rnacentral:rRNA from 1 species
AAAUGAAUAGACGGGGGCCCGCACAAGCGGAGGAACAUGUGGUUUAAUUCGAUGAUACGCGAGGAACCUUACCCGGGCUUGAAUUGCAUCUGAAUGUAGUGGAAACAUUACAGCUAGCAAUAGCAGAUGUGAAGGUGCUGCAUGGUUGUCGUCAGCUCGUGCCGUGAGGUGUCGGCUUAAGUGCCAUAACGAGCGCAACCCUCAUCACUAGUUACCAUCAGGUCAAGCUGGGGACUCUAGUGAGACUGCCGGCGUAAGCUGUGAGGAAGGUGGGGAUGACGUCAAAUCAGCACGGCCCUUACGUCCGGGGCGACACACGUGUUACAAUGGAGGGUACAGCGGGAAGCUACCUGGCGACAGGAUGCCAAUCUUAAAAACCCUUCUCAGUUCGGAUCGGAGUCUGCAACUCGACUUCGUGAAGCUGGAUUCGCUAGUAAUCGCGCAUCAGCCAUGGCGCGGUGAAUACGUUCCCGGGCCUUGUACACACCGCCCGU